GCAUUCGUGGUAUAGUAGUCAGCACGCUCGACUCGUAUUCGAGAGGUUCGUGGUUCGAGUCCCGGCGAGGGCA
rnacentral:tRNA from 1 species